rnacentral:siRNA from 1 species
AGAAUCCUGAUGAUGCUGCA